rnacentral:rRNA from 1 species
UGAUGCGUCAAAGCUCUUUGUCAAAGUCACAUAUCUGAAGCUAAGCAGGGCCAGGCCUGGUUAGUACUUGGAUGGGAGAGUGUUGGGAAUACCAGGGGCCACAGUGG